UACGAAGGGGGCUAGCGUUGCUCGGAAUCACUGGGCGUAAAGCGCACGUAGGCGGAUCUUUAAGUCAGGGGUGAAAUCCUGGAGCUCAACUCCAGAACUGCCUUUGAUACUGAAGAUCUUGAGUUCGGGAGAGGUGAGUGGAACUGCAAGUGUAGAGGUGAAAUUCGUAGAUAUUCGCAAGAACACCAGUGGCGAAGGCGGCUCACUGGCCCGAUACUGACGCUGAGGCACGAAAGCGUGGGGAGCAAACAGG
rnacentral:rRNA from 1 species